rnacentral:lncRNA from 1 species
AUGCAGACUCCACUGACUGUUCCUGUGCCCGUGCUCCAGUUACCCUGGGGCCCUGAUGGCCUCAGCCUUGGCUUUGCCCCGAUGGAUGCUGGGGCAGUUGAAGCCAGAGGUUCCUGAAAUCCAAGAGUGUCCCAUAGCUUAAGAAUCGCAGGAAUCCCAGGAGCAGUGGGCUCGAGCUGCCCUUUGGGAACGUUACCUCCACAGCAUGCUGGCCAUGGAGUAUCAACAAGUGAGCUUCACAUUGUACAAUUAUGUGCACAUGGCUGCCCAUUUCAGAACCACCAAUCUGGACAUGGCCAGCUUCUAUGUGUCACAGCUCAACUGCAGAUUCCCAUAGGUGAGUAGAGGUGCUGCUCUAAUGUAGUGACAUAAUUUCAUACACCUUCAAGCCA